UGCGGUUAAGGAUGCCAGGCCCCGAGCAGGACUCGCUAGAGACAGCCAAUGGCUUUUGUCCUUUGAAGUCAGUGGUUGCAGAAUGUUUUAAAUUGCAUCAGUAAUCUAAUUUUGGCAUAGUCGGCAACCUUGAUGGGAACAGUGGUGUAAGGGACGACUGAAGUUACAGUGAGCUGCAGAGAGAAUGGGAAACAAAAGACUGGGGGAAGAGGUGUUUUUACAGUGAACAUGAAGAUCAGACAUUCCUGCUUUCUUGGAGUUUCUGAGUCAAGUGAAUAAAUAGCACACCACUUUCAGGGAUCAUGAGAUACUAUGUUUUGCUUCAACUUUUUCCACACUUCUCUCUCAUGGGUUUGUGUAAACACAGAAGUGAGUUUUAAAAGU